GAUGAACGCUAGCGGCAGGCUUAAUACAUGCAAGUCGUGGGGCAGCAUGAGUAGCAAUACUUGAUGGCGACCGGCAAACGGGUGCGGAACACGUACACAACCUUCCGAUAAGUGGGGAAUAGCCCAGAGAAAUUUGGAUUAAUACCCCGUAACAUAUAGAGUAGGCAUCUUCUUUAUAUUAUAGCUUCGGCGCUUAUUGAUGGGUGUGCGUCUGAUUAGGUAGUUGGCGGGGUAACGGCCCACCAAGCCUACGAUCAGUAGCUGAUGUGAGAGCAUGAUAGGCCAAACGGGAACUGAGACACGGGCCCGACUCCUACGGGAGGCAGCAGUAAGGAAUAUUGGACAAUGGGCGAAAGCCUGAUCCAGCCAUGCCGCGUGAAGGAUUAAGGUCCUCUGGAUUGUAAACUUCUUUUAUUUGGGACGAAAAAAGGGAAUUCUUUCCCACUUGACGGUACCAAGUGAAUAAGCACCGGCUAACUCCGUGCCAGCAGCCGCCGUAA
rnacentral:rRNA from 1 species